rnacentral:rRNA from 1 species
ACAGCAGUAGCCGCGGUAAUACGUAGGGUGCGAGCGUUAAUCGGAAUUACUGGGCGUAAAGCGUGCGCAGGCGGUUCGUUAAGACAGAUGUGAAAUCCCCGGGCUUAACCUGGGAACUGCAUUUGUGACUGGCGAGCUAGAGUAUGGCAGAGGGGGGUAGAAUUCCACGUGUAGCAGUGAAAUGCGUAGAGAUGUGGAGGAAUACCGAUGGCGAAGGCAGCCCCCUGGGCCAAUACUGACGCUCAUGCACGAAAGCGUGGGGAGCAAACAGGAUUAGAUACCCCCGUAGUCCCUGUCUCUUAUAC